UUGCUGCAAAGAGCUUCUUGAAAAUGAUGGGCCUGAGAGCAGCAAUGGACUCAGAUGUGUUUGGAGUCUUAUUGCAGCCGUGGUGCUGCCGAGUUAAAGAAGUUCUCCAAGAGGGUCCUGCAUCAGAGGACAAUCCUUCUGUCAUUGCACGUCCUGCCGGAUGUCUCAACCUGUUUUAUGUACGCUCGAGCCUCGGCGAAAAAACGACUACCAGCAUGCUUCGUUCCCCUUCCGAAGGGGCACUUUGUAUGACCUCACCAGCGUGUUUCUGGAGUUUAAAAUGUCAAACAAGCGAUCAAAAGUUGUAAUAAACAUACAUAUUGCGCUGGGACCCU